GCCAGGGUGGUGUAAUGGUAGCACGUUGGAGCCAUUACUAAUGAGAGCUGGAGAGUGCUGCGGCAGUCAUCCUGCAUACAGCCAAAGGCGAUCCCAAAAAUCUAAGUUCGACUUUUAGCCUGGGUA